AGUGAACGCUGGCGGUAGGCCUAACACAUGCAAGUCGAACGGCAGCACAGUAAGAGCCUGCUCUUACGGGUGGCGAGUGGCGGACGGGUGAGGAAUACAUCGGAAUCUACUUUUUCGUGGGGGAUAACGUAGGGAAACUUACGCUAAUACCGCAUACGACCUACGGGUGAAAGCAGGGGAUCUUCGGACCUUGCGCGAUUGAAUGAGCCGAUGUCGGAUUAGCUAGUUGGCGGGGUAAAGGCCCACCAAGGCGACGAUCCGUAGCUGGUCUGAGAGGAUGGUCAGCGACACUGGAGCGGGGACGCGGACAAGAGGCCUACGGGACGCACCAGUGGGGUACAGUGGACAGCGGGGGCGAGUAUGAUCCAGCCGUCCGGAGUCGGAUACAGCGGCGUCGGGUGUGUAAUGACGUUUUUUGGGGAAAAAAAAGCAGCAGGUUGAUACCACGCUGGUGUGACGGUAACGAAAAAAGAAGCACCGGCUAACUUCGUG
rnacentral:rRNA from 1 species